UACAGAGGUCUCAAGCGUUGUUCGGAUUCAUUGGGCGUAAAGGGUGUGUAGGUGGCGCGCUAAGUCGGGUGUGAAAUUUCGGAGCUUAACUCCGAAACUGCAUUCGAUACUGGCGUGCUUGAGGACUGGAGAGGAGACUGGAAUUCAUGGUGUAGCAGUGAAAUGCGUAGAGAUCAUGAGGAAGACCAGUGGCGGAGGCGGGUCUCUGGACAGUUCCUGACACUGAGACACGAAGGCCAGGGGAGCAAACGGG
rnacentral:rRNA from 1 species